rnacentral:rRNA from 1 species
UACGGGGGGAGCAAGCGUUGUUCGGAUUUACUGGGCGUAAAGAGCGCGCAGGCGGCUGGUCAAGUCCGAUGUGAAAUCUCCCGGCUCAACUGGGAAACUGCAUCGGAAACUGAUCGGCUUGAAGAUGGGAGAGGGUAGUGGAAUUCCCGGUGUAGUGGUGAAAUGCGUAGAUAUCGGGAGGAACACCAGUGGCGAAGGCGACUACCUGGCCCAUUCUUGACGCUGAGGCGCGAAAGCUAGGGGAGCGAACGGG